UACGUAGGGUGCGAGCGUUAAUCGGAAUUACUGGGCGUAAAGCGUGCGCAGGCGGUUGGUUAAGUCUGAUGUGAAAGCCCCGGGCUCAACCUGGGAAUGGCAUUGGAAACUGGCCAGCUGGAGUGUGGCAGAGGGGGGUGGAAUUCCGCGUGUAGCAGUGAAAUGCGUAGAGAUGCGGAGGAACACCGAUGGCGAAGGCAGCCCCCUGGGCCAGCACUGACGCUCAGGCACGAAAGCGUGGGGAGCAAAAGGG
rnacentral:rRNA from 1 species